GCAAACUUGGUCAUUUAGAGGAAGUAAAAGUCGUAACAAGGUUUCCGGGUGAACCUGCGGAAGGAUCAUUAACAAAUUUCACCUUGUGUGCAGUUUUGUAUAAAGUUAAUAUCCUUGGAAAGAUUAUUUUUUAUAGUGAUCUUUUGAGGUUAUCAAAUCAAUCUAUUCUUUUUUUUCUUGACUGUAAUUAAAAAAUAUAUAAAUAAAAAACUUUCAACAACGGAUCUCUUGGCUCUCGCAUCGAUGAAGAACGCAGC
rnacentral:misc_RNA from 1 species